AGUCCAGUGGUCCAAUGGUACGACGUCGCCACGCACUUUUGUUCUACAAGUCAAAGGCGGAGAUUACGAGUUCGAUUCUCGUCAGGGCUA